UACAGAGGGUGCAAGCGUUAAUCGGAAUUACUGGGCGUAAAGCGCACGUAGGCGGUUGGUUAAGUUGGAUGUGAAAGCCCCGGGCUCAACCUGGGAAUUGCAUUCAAAACUGGCCAACUAGAGUAUGUGAGAGGGGGGUAGAAUUCCAAGUGUAGCGGUGAAAUGCGUAGAGAUUUGGAGGAAUACCAGUGGCGAAGGCGGCCGCCUGGCACACUACUGACGCUGAGGUGCGAAAGCGUGGGGAGCAAACAGG
rnacentral:rRNA from 1 species